rfam:Cricetulus griseus cell line CHO-K1, whole genome shotgun sequence.
GCCUAUGGCCAUACCACCCUGAACACACCGAAUCUCCUCUGAUCUUGGAAGCUAAGCAGGUCGGGCAUGGUUAGUACUUGAAAGGGAGAAAUGCCUUCCCAUAAGUUUUGGUAAGCUGUGUAUU